UAGGCGUGGUUGUGUUAAACAUCCCUGCCCUAACUGAGAGUCGCCGGUAAUUCGAAAAUCACGAAAACCAAAAGCUUCAAUUUCGGCAUGCAGCGAUCAUCGCCUGCAAUUUCUUAUUGAUUGACCCUUUUCAAUCCCAAAUCCAAACCCAGAAGAUAGGAUGACGACAAGAACCAACUUUUACAAAAACCCUUCACGAGCAUACAACAAGGCCUUCAAUCUCAAUUCUGCUCUUCAAAAUCUGAAGGCUUAUAAUGAUGCCACCGGAAAUGCUCCUGUCACCGGAGACGCCACCGAGAAUGGAAACGUUGAAAAGGAAGUAAACCGUAAACGCCCAAGGGAAAGGAAACCACAGUCACGAACUGAAAGGAAUGACAACGUCAUUGAGGAUGAUCAUCCAAUGUCUCAUCAGGAAUAUGUUGACAAAAUAAGGAAAGAGUUGAAUUGUUCUCUCAAGCGUGAAGAAUUAAACGUUGAUGUAUUGACAAAUUCACGUCAGGGAUUAGCUUUGGUGCAGUAUGAGAGCGAUCAAAGUAGCUCACCAGAGUGUGAUGAGAAGGCAGGGCCGUCUCGUUUUGAUGUGGUUCCAAGUUCUGGUAAUGUGAAUAAAGAUGAGGUUAAAAGAAGAAGUGAAGAGCAGCGUUUUGCUGUUCCUGGGGAACCUGUUUGCGUAAUAUGUGGGAAAUAUGGAGAAUAUAUCUGUGAUGAGACUGAUGAUGACAUCUGCAGCAUGGAUUGUAAAGCUGAGGUUUUGGGAAAUCUUAAACUUAGUCAGGGAUGCUUAAACAACCAGAAACCGUGUGAAUCCUCAUCCUCAUCCAUAGAUGAUUUUUCAAGAGUGAUUGAACUUGGAGGGGACAUGUGGGAUCAUGAGCGUUUUCGUUGGUCCAGAAAGAGGUCUAGCCUAUGCACUUAUGAAUGCUGGAAAUGUCAAAAACCGAGCCAUCUUGCUGAAGACUGUUUGGCAGUAACAACAGGAGAAAGAAGAGCAACUCCAAUACCAAGAUCCCUUCUUGAUCUGUAUAAAAGAUGUCACCAAAUUGGAAAAAGUGUGUCAGGGACAAAAUGCAACUCGUGCAACUUGUCAUCUUCAUUAGCCACUUGCCUCGGUUGCAAUGUCACAUUUUGUGAUAGUGCAGGUCAUUUGAGAGAGCACAUCAGGGUGAACCCUUCUCACGGAGAAUAUUACUCCUUUAAGCUCAAACGACUGGUUAAAUGCUGCAAAUCUUCAUGCAAGGUGACGGAUAUUAAGACUCUCUUGGCUUGUCACUUCUGCUUUGAUAAAGCUUUUGAAAAGUUCUAUGAUAUGUACACUGCAACUUGGAAUGGAGCUGCACUUUCAAUCAUCUGGGGUUCCAUUUGCUGUGAAGGUCACUUUGAAUGGCACAGGAUGAAUUGCUUGAAUGCAGGUAUAGAAGACAACUCUUACAUAAUCAACAAGGCUGCGACUGUUCAAGUCAGCGACUUCAUCUUCUGACAAUAAUCAAUCAAGCAAUGCCAACUACUGAAAGCGAUUCGAUUCAUCCAAUCCAACCAACCAUCUGAUUUGUCACCGUUGGAUUCAAUAGCAGCAUCUUGACGACGAACCGCUGAGAUUACGCCAAGGUUCAGUUCUGGUGCAGACUGUCCCACAAAGAUGAACACUCUCGUCUUGCAAAUCCGACCCUUCGUUUUUUGAGAUCAUAAACAACCUCAAAUCCCUGCUGUUGAUAAUUCCCAAGUGUCCCCACUGGCCCUCCUUCAUCUUCAUCGUCACCAUCACCGCCGUUCAUCAACAUCAGACAUCCUACCUUCCUCUUACGUUUCCCAUC